UACGGGGGGGGCAAGCGUUGUUCGGAAUUACUGGGCGUAAAGGGCGCGUAGGCGGCCUUCUAAGUCGGACGUGAAAUCCCUCGGCUCAACCGAGGAACUGCGUCUGAUACUGGAUGGCUUGAGUUUGGGAGAGGAAUGCGGAAUUCCAGGUGUAGCGGUGAAAUGCGUAGAUAUCUGGAGGAACACCGGUGGCGAAGGCGGCAUUCUGGACCAAUACUGACGCUGAGGAGCGAAAGCCAGGGGAGCAAACGGG
rnacentral:rRNA from 1 species